rnacentral:rRNA from 1 species
ACGAGUGGCGGACGGUUGAGUAUGUCUGGAGAACUGCUGAUGGAGGGGAUACUACUGGAAACGGUAGCUAUACGGAUACGUCGCAGACAAAGGGACCUCGGGGCUCUGGCAUCGGAUGUGCCAGAUGGAUUACUUGUUGGUGGGUAACGGGUCACCAGCGAGAUCCUACUGGUCUGAGAGAUGACCAGCCACACUGGAACUGAGACACGGUCCAACUCCUACGGGAGGCAAUGGGGAAUAUCGCACAAUGGGCGCAAGCCUGAUGCAGCCAUGCCGCGCGUAUGAAGAAGGCCUUCGGGUUGUAAAGUACUUUCAGCGGGGAGGAAGGGAGUAAAGUUAAUACCUUUGCUCAUUGACGUUACCCGCAGAAGAAGCACCGGCUAACUCCGUGCCAGCAGCCGCGGUAAUACGGAGGGUGCAAGCGUUAAUCGGAAUUACUGGGCGUAAGCAGCACGCAGCGGUUUGUUAAGUCAAUGUGAAAUCCCCGGGCUCAACCUGGGAACUGAAUCUGAUACUGGCAAGCUUGAGUCUCGUAAGGGGGGUAGAAUUCCAGGUGUAGGCGGUGCAAAUGCGUAAGAGAUACUGGAGGAAUAACGGUAG